rnacentral:rRNA from 1 species
UACGUAGGGUGCGAGCGUUAUUCGGAAUUACUGGGCGUAAAGUGUGCGCAGGCGGCAGAGCAAGUCGAGUGUGAAAGCCCCGGGCUUAACUUGGGAAUUGCGCUCGAAACUACUUUGCUGGAGUGUGGCAGAGGAAGGUGGAAUUCCACGUGUAGCGGUGAACUGCGUAGAGAUGUGGAGGAACACCAAUGGCGAAGGCAGCCUUCUGGGCCAAAACUGACGCUCAUGCACGAAAGCGUGGGGAGCAAACAGG